UAGCUAGUUGGUGAGGUAAAGGCUUACCAAGGCGACGAUCUGUAGCGGGUCUGAGAGGAUGAUCCGCCACACUGGAACUGAGACACGGUCCAGACUCCUACGGGAGGCAGCAGUGGGGAAUUUUGGACAAUGGGGGCAACCCUGAUCCAGCCAUGCCGCGUGAGUGAAGAAGGCCUUCGGGUUGUAAAGCUCUUUCGGCCGGGAAGAAAUCGCAUGGGCCAAUACCCUGUGUGGAUGACGGUACCGGAAUAAGAAGCACCGGCUAACUACGUGCCAGCAGCCGCGGUAAUACGUAGGGUGCGAGCGUUAAUCGGAAUUACUGGGCGUAAAGCGUGCGCAGGCGGUUUUGUAAGACAGGCGUGAAAUCCCCGGGCUUAACCUGGGAACUGCGUUUGUGACUGCAAGGCUAGAGUACGGCAGAGGGGGGUGGAAUUCCACGUGUAGCAGUGAAAUGCGUAGAGAUGUGGAGGAACACCAAUGGCGAAGGCAGCCCCCUGGGUCGAUACUGACGCUCAUGCACGAAAGCGUGGGUAGCAAACAGGAUUAGAUACCCUGGUAGUCCACGCCCUAAACUAUGUCAACUAGGUGUUGGGUGGGUAAAACCAUUUAGUACCGUAGCUAACGCGUGAAGUUGACCGCCUGGGGAGUACGGCCGCAAGGUUAAAACUCAAAGGAAUUGACGGGGACCCGCACAAGCGGUGGAUGAUGUGGAUUAAUUCGAUGCAACGCGAAAAACCUUACCUACCCUUGACAUGCCAGGAACUUGCCAGAGAUGGCUUGGUGCCCGAAAGGGAGCCUGGACACAGGUGCUGCAUGGCUGUCGUCAGCUCGUGUCGUGAGAUGUUGGGUUAAGUCCCGCAACGAGCGCAACCCUUGUCGUUAAUUGCCAUCAUUUAGUUGGGCACUUUAACGAGACUGCCGGUGACAAACCGGAGGAAGGUGGGGAUGACGUCAAGUCCUCAUGGCCCUUAUGGGUAGGGCUUCACACGUCAUACAAUGGUCGGUACAAAGGGUUGCCAAGCCGCGAGGCGGAGCCAAUCCCAGAAAGCCGAUCGUAGUCCGGAUUGCAGGCUGCAACUCGCCUGCAUGAAGUCGGAAUCGCUAGUAAUCGUGGAUCAGCAUGUCACGGUGAAUACGUUCCCGGGUCUUGUACACACCGCCCGUCACACCAUGGGAGCGGGUUCCGCCAGAAGUAGGUAGCCUAACCGCGAGGGGGGCGCUUACCACGGCGGGGUUCGUGACUGGGGUGAAGUCGUAACAAGGUAGCCGUAGGGGAACCUGCGGCUG
rnacentral:rRNA from 1 species